GGUGGCUCAGUGGUAGAGUGCUUGCCUUGCAUGCAUGAGGCAUGGGUUCUAUUCCUCAGCACCA
rnacentral:tRNA from 1 species